rnacentral:rRNA from 1 species
UACGUAGGGGGCAAGCGUUGUCCGGAUUUAUUGGGCGUAAAGAGCGUGUAGGCGGCUUUGCAAGUCCGUUGUGAAAACUCGAGGCUCAACCUCGAGACGCCGGUGGAAACUGCAAAGCUAGAGUCCGGAAGAGGAGAGUGGAAUUCCGUGGUGUAGCGGUGAAAUGCGGCAGAUAUCAGGAAGAACACCCGUGGCGAAGGCGGCUCUCUGGGACGGUACUGACGGCUGAGACG